AGAGUUUGAUCAUGGCUCAGGAUGAACGCUAGCGGCAGGCUUAAUACAUGCAAGUCGAGGGGCAGCAGGACUGUAGCAAUACAGUUGCUGGCGACCGGCAAACGGGUGCGGAACACGUACGCAACCUUCCUUCAAAUGAGGAAUAGCCUUUCGAAAGAGAGAUUAAUACCUCGUAACAUUUUCUGGUGGCAUCACCGGAUUAUUAUAGCUCCGGCGUUUGAAGAUGGGCGUGCGCCUGAUUAGGUAGUUGGCGGAGUAAUAGCCCACCAAGCCUACGAUCAGUAACUGGUGUGAGAGCACGACCAGUCACACGGGCACUGAGACACGGGCCCGACUUCUACGGGAGGCAGCAGUAAGGAAUAUUGGUCAAUGGACGCAAGUCUGAACCAGCCAUGCCGCGUGGAGGAUGAAGGUCCUCUGGAUUGUAAACUUCUUUUAUCGGAGAAGAAACCCCUGAAUUCUUUUAGGGUUGACGGUACCCGAUGAAUAAGCACCGGCUGACUCCGUGCCAGCAGCCGCGGUAAUACGGAGGGUGCAAGCGUUAUCCGGAUUCACUGGGUUUAAAGGGAGCGUAGGUGGGGUGGUAAGUCAGUGGUGAAAUCUCCGGGCUUAACUCGGAAACUGCCGUUGAUACUAUCAUUCUUGAAUAUUGUGGAGGUAAGCGGAAUAUGUCAUGUAGCGGUGAAAUGCUUAGAUAUGACAUAGAACACCGAUAGCGAAGGCAGCUUGCUACACAAUUAUUGACACUGAGGCUCGAAAGCGUGGGGAUCAAACAGGAUUAGAUACCCUGGUAGUCCACGCCCUAAACGAUGGAUACUCGACAUACGCGAUACACAGUGUGUGUCUGAGCGAAAGCAUUAAGUAUCCCACCUGGGAAGUACGACCGCAAGGUUGAAACUCAAAUGAAUUGACGG
rnacentral:rRNA from 1 species